rnacentral:pre_miRNA from 1 species
GGAAAUCUAGAAACUACCGCUGGAUCGAAAAAUAGAUGUCUGAAAUUCGUCCACAUCACCAUGAGUAAAAAUUUUACUUCCAAUAAAAUUUCUAUUUAGGAGUAAACCUAUAAUAAUAUUUUUUUACUCGUGCUACGAGAAAAUUUUUUACUCGUGAUGACGUGGACGAAUUUACGAUGUCCAUCUAUUCAAUCCAACGUUAGUUUCUAGGAUUUU